AAGUUUUGCAAUUGGAGUGGUGCAGUAUUUCUAGUCAAUCCACCUAUUCUGAAGGCGGGCCUAAAAAUCUGCCAAAGGGCACAUCGAUGAAGUUCUUGGUGUUGGCUUUUGACGCCCAGUCAGGGGUCGAUGCUGAGAGUUAAGGUUAGAGGGCGAUCCACAAUGGCAUGUGGGCGUAGACCCUCUUUCCGCGGAGGCCCAAGUAUGUAGCAAGAAGGUACCGUCCGACUUGUUAUGGCUUGGGGUAUGAACCUGCAUGCGAGAUGACUUGUGUGCAGCGUAGCCUGCCUUGCGUGAUAUAGUUUGGGAUUAUAGGGUAAAGGUUAUAUUUUUUCUGGCCAAAAAAAGUAUAACUGUUUCUAUAUGAAAUCUAUAUUGCAAAAGAGGCUAGGAAUAGGAUUCGGAUUGUUGAGGAAAGCUCCUAGACUGUUCGAAAAGAGGCUCUUUAGGGAUUAAAGUGUGGACUAAGUGGUAAUCUAGUCCAAUGGUUGGCGACUCCAUUGAGAAGAGCAUAAAGGGAAACCGCCUUUUUGGCGACAGAAAGGUGUCUCUUCUGGGAAAACCUACUAGACCUAAGCCACAGCAUUUACCUAAAGAGUCACCACUCCACAUACAUAUCCU
rnacentral:sRNA from 1 species